rnacentral:sRNA from 1 species
UUUCAGGGUAUUAACUUUCUUUAAAAUUAUUCAAUUCAAAAACGCUAAAUUAUUUACCACACAUCACUAUACUGCAGUGGACUAUGUUGAGCAGGGGUCUGCACUAAGUUUGGUAUCAAUAUGGUGCUCCUGGGGGAGAUUGGGACCACCAGGUCAUAAGGAGGGGCGAUCUGACCCAGGUUGGAGAAGGAGCAGGUCAAACCCCCUGUGCUGAUCAGUAGUGGGAUCAUGGCUGUGAAUAGACACUGCAGUGCAGCCUGAGCAACACGGAGAGACGCAGACUUU